AGAAGCCAGCAUGUUCAGCUGAGCCUUUGAAGGCUACCCUGGGUUCUUGUGGGUCUGUAUGUGGCCUGAGAUUGCUAAAAGCCAAAUUAUCUUACCUUUGAACCCUUCUACCCUCUUGCAAAUGGAAUGCUGAAGCCAGCUUGUUCAAUAGAUCAACAGCAUCCAGUACCAAAUAGGAUCUCAUUUUUAUUGCUUGGAUUUUCCAGGGUAUAUUGGAGACACUGGCCAAACUCAUGGCCUUCUGCUGGUGUCACUGCCACCAUCUUCAUCAAGAGCCAUCAUUCACUGAGUUGCUGCUGUGUUGGUGGCCUGGGAGGGGCCUGAGACCUUACAUUUGAGUUCAUCCUGAACUCAGUCACUCAUCAGGAGGCCCAUGUGGUUCUUGUGAAGCUCAGACCUGAGAUAAUGCAGACCAGCCUCCAGUGGCAAAGGCAGACCAGAGAUUUCCUGGAAAGAGACUGAGGAGGAGAACAUGAGGGCCGUCAGGAUGCAAAGUUUUUUUAAAGGAGGAGAGAGAGAGAGAGAAAGAAGGAAGGAAAAGACGUAACAGCCAAGUGUCCUCUGCUCAACACAUCUGCUUCUAAAGCCUGCUCCAGCUGUGGUGGAAAUCCAGCACUAGCUUCUUAAAAGAUUCUUCUUUCUUCCGUUAUGAGUUUACUUCUGGCACACAGGAAAUUUGAAGAGAACAAAAGGAGAAAACAAACAGGCACUCCUCCCUGAAGUAGUACGUGAACUACAGGCAGCCUUGGACUUUACAUUGGUUCCUCUUUAAUCUUUGUCCAGACACUGGUCAAAUGUAUUCUACACAGCUAGUCACAGACCCAGCUUUCAUUUCCUUCUCGCCUUGAGGAGGGAUGGGGGCCGGAGGGGAAGAAGAACUAGGAAAGCCCACAUAUGACAAAACACACAGAGAGGGAAGGAACCAUGAAACUCCCAGGACUGAGCAGACGUCGACUCCACACUGACCUGCUCUUCACUCUCCUUACGACCUCCUGACAGCAGAGUCUAUCUAGAUGACAGGCCAGACUGCUGGGAGAGCACUGGACCAGAUACCAUAGCUCCUCUGCCUUUGAUUAAUCCUUUCUGUCAGUGAGGCUUGGCAACAAGAGUCCUCUCGGAGCCUGGAUUUCUCAGUUAGGAAAUGGGGCAAUGACAGUCCCUCCUGGUCCCAGGACUGCAUGGACAAUGGAGAAGCAGGCUAUGCAAAUGCUCUGUUCAGAAUAUGGCUUUGUGAGAGCUGAGAUCACCUUCAUCUCACAGCGGUGGCUAGGUGUGCUGCAUACUAGCUAGGUGUAAGCACUAUGUGUGAGAAUUCACACCCCCAAGGAGCUCACAUGCAAGCUCAGUGGGGAGGUUAAGGCUGGAAAUGACACAAAAGCAAUGUCCUGAGAGGUUAUGGGAAAGGAAAAGUGAAUCCUCCUUUCAACACCAGGGUAUGAAUAGAAGGGCUUCACUGAGAAAGUAACUCUUGCUGACCCUGGAGGUUUGAAGGGUGUAGAAUCAUGGGAUGAGGUGAGGAAACAUUGCUCUGUGGUAGGAAAAAUUCAUCAGCUAAGACAUGAAACCUGAAAGCAUAAUGUUCAGGAGACAGAGGAAAGCUGCUCGUUCUACAGAAGUGAAAACUGCCUAUGAGGUAGGUCAGUCUAAAACUAUCCUUACUCUGCCAUUACUUUCCUAUUCUGUUUCCCUUAAGAAACUAACAGAAAAAUCAGAUAGAGAUGGCUUGUCACUGCCUAUAUCACAUCCAGUGCUACUACCAAUCAUAGUAGGUCACACUGUGAACAGGAGCUAUGAACCCAGGUCUAUACUUUGACCUUUGUCCUACUUGGUACUCAUGAGUUGAAUCAUUUUAGCGUGUGUGUGUGUGUGUGUGUGUGUGUGUGUAGCUCUAGGACUCUGAGUCAUCUACCAUCAGACCUAUUCACAAAGUCUGAGUCAGGAGCUCACUUCCCUGGGACCUGUGAGCAUGAGUCUACAGUAUUGAUAAGAAUGGACAGAAAUUGGAAGAAGAGGGCUCUGAAACUCCAGAUGCUGGAAUGACCAUUAUUUUGGAUUGUUUGGCAAAGAGGCUAAAGAGACAGAUUCCCUUGGUAGUGGUUGCCUGCAGGUCCAGAUCACUAGCUCAGCAACAGUUGCUAUGACCUACUGGCUGGCUAUAGAGCAGGCUAAUUAAGAACUGAAGAAUGAGAGUGUGGAGGUCAUGGAGAGAUGGCUCAGCAACUAAGAACAGAUAUAAUACGUGUCUUGAAGAGGACCUAAGUAUGAAUUUCAGCUAUGUUAGAAGACUCACACAGUCAUCAGUACUUCAAGCACCGGUUCUCACAUGUGCACAUGCGUAAUUAAAAGUAUAAUAAAUCUUUAAAUUCUUUUU
rnacentral:lncRNA from 1 species